rnacentral:rRNA from 1 species
UACGGAGGGUGCAAGCGUUAUCCGGAUUUACUGGGUUUAAAGGGUGCGUAGGUGGGUUGGUAAGUCAGUGGUGAAAUACUUUCGCUUAACGAAGGAACUGCCAUUGAUACUACCAGUCUUGAAUACAGUGGAGGUAGGCGGAAUGCGUCAUGUAGCGGUGAAAUGCUUAGAUAUGACGCAGAACACCAAUUGCGAAGGCAGCUUGCUACACUGUUAUUGACACUGAGGCACGAAAGCGUGGGGGUCAAACAGG